AUUGAACGCUGGCGGCAGGCCUAACACAUGCAAGUCGAGCGGUAGAGAGGUGCUUGCAUCUCUUGAGAGCGGCGGACGGGUGAGUAAUGCCUAGGAAUCUGCCUAGUGGUGGGGGAUAACGUUCGGAAACGGACGCUAAUACCGCAUACGUCCUACGGGAGAAAGCGGGGGGAUCUUCGGACCUCGCGCCAUUAGAUGAGCCUAGGUCGGAUUAGCUAGUUGGUGAGGUAAUGGCUCACCAAGGCGACGAUCCGUAACUGGUCUGAGAGGAUGAUCAGUCACACUGGAACUGAGACACGGUCCAGACUCCUACGGGAGGCAGCAGUGGGGAAUAUUGGACAAUGGGCGAAAG
rnacentral:rRNA from 1 species